AUUCAGUUAACCUAGUGGUUAAGGUUUUGGAUCGCUAAUCCGGAGACGGUGCGGGUUCGAUUCCCGUUUUGGUCG
rnacentral:tRNA from 1 species